rnacentral:rRNA from 1 species
UAGCAAUAGGUAUGCUUAGGGAGGAGCUUGCGUCACAUUAGUUAGUUGGUGGGGUAAAGGCCUACCAAGACUAUGAUGUGUAGCCGGGCUGAGAGGUUGAACGGCCACAUUGGGACUGAGACACGGCCCAAACUCCUACGGGAGGCAGCAGUAGGGAAUUUUCGGCAAUGGAGGAAACUCUGACCGAGCAACGCCGCGUGAACGAUGAAGUAUUUCGGUACGUAAAGUUCUUUUAUUAGGGAAGAAUAAAUGAUGGAAAAAUCAUUCUGACGGUACCUAAUGAAUAAGCCCCGGCUAACUAUGUGCCAGCAGCCGCGGUAAUACAUAGGGGGCAAGCGUUAUCCGGAAUUAUUGGGCGUAAAGGGUGCGUAGGCGGUUAAAUAAGUUUAUGGUCUAAGUGCAAUGCUCAACAUUGUGAUGCUAUAAAAACUGUUUAGCUAGAGUAAGAUAGAGGCAAGUGGAAUUCCAUGUGUAGUGGUAAAAUGCGUAAAUAUAUGGAGGAACACCAGUAGCGAAGGCGGCUUGCUGGGUCUUUACUGACGCUGAGGCACGAAAGCGUGGGGAGCAAACAGGAUUAGAUACCCUGGUAGUCCACGCCGUAAACGAUGAGUACUAAACGUUGGGUAAAACCAGUGUUGAAGUUAACACAUUAAGUACUCCGCCUGAGUAGUACGUACGCAAGUAUGAAACUUAAAGGAAUUGACGGGACUCCGCACAAGCGGUGGAUCAUGUUGUUUAAUUCGAAGGUACCCGAAAAACCUCACCAGGUCUUGACAUGCUUCUGCAAAGCUGUAGAAACACAGUGGAGGUUAUCAGUUGCACAGGUGGUGCAUGGUUGUCGUCAGCUCGUGUCGUGAGAUGUUGGGUUAAGUCCCGCAACGAGCGCAACCCUUAUUGUUAGUUACCAGCACGUAAUGGUGGGGACUUUAGCAAGACUGCCAGUGAUAAAUUGGAGGAAGGUGGGGACGACGUCAAAUCAUCAUGCCCCUUAUGACCUGGGCUACAAACGUGAUACAAUGGCUGUUACAAAGGGUAGCUGAAGCGCAAGUUUUUGGCGAAUCUCAAAAAAACAGUCUCA